AUUGAACGCUGGCGGCAGGCCUAACACAUGCAAGUCGAACGGUAACAGGAAGAAGCUUGCUUCUUUGCUGACGAGUGGCGGACGGGUGAGUAAUGUCUGGGAAACUGCCUGAUGGAGGGGGAUAACUACUGGAAACGGUAGCUAAUACCGCAUAACGUCGCAAGACCAAAAAGGGGGACCUUCGGGCCUCUUGCCAUCGGAUGUGCCCAGAUGGGAUUAGCUAGUAGGUGGGGUAACGGCUCACCUAGGCGACGAUCCCUAGCUGGUCUGAGAGGAUGACCAGCCACACUGGAACUGAGACACGGUCCAGACUCCUACGGGAGGCAGCAGUGGGGAAUAUUGCACAAUGGGCGCAAGCCUGAUGCAGCCAUGCCGCGUGUAUGAAGAAGGCCUUCGGGUUGUAAAGUACUUUCAGCGGGGAGGAAGGGAGUAAAGUUAAUACCUUGGCGCAUUGACGUUACCCGCAGAAGAAGCACCGGCUAACUCCGUG
rnacentral:rRNA from 1 species